UUUCAGCAUCUUUUUGAGCUCACAGCUAGACUCCUGUUCUUCAAGAGAUGGAAAGUAAAGAAAGUAGCAAAGCUCUGAAGUACUUUCCUGGCUUUGGACCACAUCUUACCCUGCAAUUUAUGAACACGGGGACUUGCAAAUGAGGAUUCAAAAAGCCCUGGCAGCAUCUGCAUUACUUCUCCCUAUCCACCCACAUCUGGUGAGAGUGAUGAGGUUCAUGCAUAAUGCAGAAGCGGAGCUGUGCUUGGGACGUGGCUUUGCAGGUGGUGUUUGUACAGAGAUCUCACAGGUGCACAUGCUGGUGUGAAGACAGCAGCCCUGGGAAUCCAUCAGGCAGCUGUCAUGGUUUAACCUCAGCUGGCAACCAAGGACCAUCGAGCCACUUGCUCGACCCCUGCGCCAUGGGAUGGGGAGGAGAAUCAGAUAACAGGAAAAAAGGUACUAAAGUGAGCUUUCUGGAACACAAACACAUGCUCCCCCAAAAGGAUGACUUCAGCAACAUACAUAUGUGACUCCAAUAAGUAAAAUCGGAUACUUCUUGUUUUUUACUUCUGACUUGCAUCUGGUCAGAGGCAGAACUGAGAGAUGAGUCCAGUUAAAUUUAAACGAAGAUGAAGGUGAUUACACUGAUUUACUGUGAUGUACUGCUAGCUCAAAUAGAUUUCAUUGAUUAACUGACAAUUUAAAUAAACAUCAGUGCAGGCAGAUGGCAUUUAAAUUGGAAGUGAUUUUAAACAUA